rnacentral:rRNA from 1 species
ACGUAGGGUGCAAGCGUUAAUCGGAAUUACUGGGCGUAAAGCGUGCGCAGGCGGUUAUUCAAGACAGAUGUGAAAUCCCCGGGCUCAACCUGGGAACUGCAUUUGUGACUGGAUGGCUAGAGUGCGGCAGAGGGGGAUGGAAUUCCGCGUGUAGCAGUGAAAUGCGUAGAUAUGCGGAGGAACACCGAUGGCGAAGGCAAUCCCCUGGGCCUGCACUGACGCUCAUGCACGAAAGCGUGGGGAGCAAACAGGAUUAGAUACCCUGGUAGUCCACGCCCUAAACGAUGUCAACUGGUUGUUGGGAGGGUUCCUUCUCAGUAACGUAGCUAACGCGUGAAGUUGACCGCCUGGGGAGUACGGCCGCAAGGUUG